rnacentral:rRNA from 1 species
UGAGGAAUAUUGCGCAAUGGGCGAAAGCCUGACGCAGCAACGCCGCGUGGAUGAUGAAGUUCUUCGGAAUGUAAAAUCCUUUUGCAGGGGACGAAUAUGCUGGCUUGCCAGCACUGACGGUACCUUGCGAAUAAGCCACGGCUAACUCUGUGCCAGCAGCCGCGGUGAUACAGGGGUGGCAAGCGUUGUCCGGAUUUACUGGGUGAAAAGGGUGCGCAGGCGGACCGAUAAGUCGGGGGUUAAAUCCAUGUGCUUAACACAUGCACGGCUUCCGAUACUGUCGGUCUAGAGUCUCGAAGAGGAAGGUGGAAUUUCCGGUGUAACGGUGGAAUGUGUAGAUAUCGGAAAGAACACCAGUGGCGAAGGCAGCCUUCUGGUCGAGAACUGACGCUCAUGCACGAAAGCGUGGGGAGCAAACA